rnacentral:rRNA from 1 species
GCGCAGCAGUCGAGAAUCCUUCGCAAUGCGGGAAACCGCGACGAGGGGACUCCCAGUGCCUACGCUCAGCGUAGGCUGUUCCCGAGCCUAGAAAGCUCGGGGAGUAAGGGCUGGGUAAGACGGGUGCCAGUCGCCGCGGUAAUACCCGCAGCCCGAGUGGUGGCCACUAUUAUUGGGCCUAAAGCGUCCGUAGCCGGCCCGGUAAAUGCCUGGGUAAAUCGUGAGGCCUAACCUCACGAAUUCCGGGUAGACUGCCGGGCUAGGGACCGGAGGAGGGAGAGGGUACUCCAGGGGUAGGGGUGAAAUCCUGUAAUCCCUGGAGGACCACCGGUGGCGAAGGCGCUCUCCUAGGACGGGUCCGACGGUGAGGGACGAAAGCCAGGGGAGCGAACCGGAUUAGAUACCCGCGUAGU